rnacentral:rRNA from 1 species
CCCUUAGAUGUUCUGGGCCGCACGCGCGCUACACUGUUUGAUUCAGCGAGUCUUAACCUUGACCGAAAGGUUUGGGUAAUCUUCUAAAGUCAAACGUGAUGGGGAUCGAUCAUUGCAAUUAUUGAUCGUGAACGAGGAAUUCCUAGUAAAUGCAAGUCAUCAGCUUGCGUUGAUUACGUCCCUGCCCAUUGUACACACCGCCCGUCGCUACUACCGAUUGAAUGGUUUAGUGAGAUCUCCGGAUUGGCUCUGUAGGUCCCGCAAGGGAUUUAUUAGUAGCCAAGAAGCUGCUCAAACUUGAUCAUUUAGAGGAAGUAAAAGUCGUAACA